rnacentral:rRNA from 1 species
UGGGGAAUUUUGGACAAUGGGGGCAACCCUGAUCCAGCCAUGCCGCGUGCGGGAAGAAGGCCUUCGGGUUGUAAACCGCUUUCGGACGGAAAGAAAUCGCAUGGGCUAAUACCCUGUGUGGAUGACGGUACCGUAAGAAGAAGCACCGGCUAACUACGUGCCAGCAGCCGCGGUAAUACGUAGGGUGCGAGCGUUAAUCGGAAUUACUGGGCGUAAAGCGUGCGCAGGCGGUUUCUUAAGCCAGAUGUGAAAUCCCCGGGCUUAACCUGGGAACUGCAUUUGGAACUGGGAGACUAGAGUGUGUCAGAGGGAGGUGGAAUUCCACGUGUAGCAGUGAAAUGCGUAGAGAUGUGGAGGAACACCGAUGGCGAAGGCAGCCUCCUGGGAUGACACUGACGCU